UACGGAGGGUGCGAGCGUUGUCCGGAAUCACUGGGCGUAAAGGGCGCGUAGGUGGCCUGUGGAAGUCUGCGGUGAAAGCCCGGCGCUCAACGCCGGGUCGGCCGUGGAUACUCUCGGGCUUGAGCUUACUAGAGGCAGAUGGAAUUCCGGGUGUAGCGGUGGAAUGCGUAGAGAUCCGGAAGAACACCAAAGGCGAAGGCAGUGUCCUGGGGAGUACCUGACGCUCAGGUGCGAAAGCCAGGGGAGCGAACGGG
rnacentral:rRNA from 1 species